rnacentral:rRNA from 1 species
UAGGGAAUCUUCGGCAAUGGACGAAAGUCUGACCGAGCAACGCCGCGUGAGUGAAGAAGGUUUUCGGAUCGUAAAACUCUGUUGUUAGAGAAGAACAAGGACGUUAGUAACUGAACGUCGCCUGACGGUAUCUAACCAGAAAGCCACGGCUAACUACGUGCCAGCAGCCGCGGUAAUACGUAGGUGGCAAGCGUUGUCCGGAUUUAUUUGGCGUAAAGCGAGCGCAGGCGGUUUCUUAAGUCUGAUGUGAAAGCCCCCGGCUCAACCGGGGACGGUCAUUGGAAUCUGGGGGACUUGAGUGCAGAAGAGGAGAGUGGAAUUCCAUGUGUAGCGGUCAAAUGCGUAGUUAUAUGGAGGAACACCAGUGGCGAAGGCGGCUCUCUGGUCUGUAACUGACGCUGAGGCUCGAAAGCGUGGGGAGCAAACAGG